AAGGCGGAGACUUCGCCCCACCGCGGUUCUGAGUGGUCGUUAUGUAACGGUUACGUUGAGCGCCUCUCUCCAGCUGUUCUCGCAGGGUCCCGGGAACUGUCUGAAAGUUUGUUCCGAGCAAGACGAGAUUCGUGAUAGGUCUGACCCGUGGCCUUGUUGUGGCUACUUUAGGAGACGUUGGAUUGUAAACAGUGCCUAUUUUUCUAGACAGUGUUCUUAGAUGGGAUGGGGAUCUGAAGAGCGCAACGUUUUGGUAUUGGUCUUGCUUAAUAAUGGAUUGUCAAUAACCCAAGAGAAGGCGAAAUUAUUUUUGUUUUAGGGAAUAGUUUAAUAUCAACUUAAUGCAACUUCUCAAGUGGCAUGUCACAACGUUGUUCAUGCAUGGACCACGGCAGGAGACAAGUUAAUUUUUUACUUCUAAGUUUCUGGAUAACUUUGUAGGGGUCAAGAGAAUCUCGAAAUGGGAGCGUGUCUCAACUUUGCCUCGCAACGUUUAACAGACUAGUGCCUCUGCCGAGGACAACAAUAUGGGUAGCGGCACAAGCAGAGGGAAGAAAGUUGCACCUGCAAAUGUCAGAGAAAUAACCGUCUUAAACCGAGAUGAUAAUAUAGUACAUUCCCUCAAUGAGGACAAACUCCCUCUUCAACCCGUAAAAAUACCAACGUUUUCUAACUUUACCCUGUCACAAAACAUGGCAAAGCACGACUGUCACAGCGAAGGACACCACUCCGAAUUCUCAGCAGACGAGGAUGACAUAGCUGAGGAGCUGGACCGAGUUUUGUCUGAAUAUGAACGUCCAAGAGGAAUAUUUUCUAAAGGAACAAAUUCACCGAAAAAGUCAUUCAUCAGGUCUAAAACAUAUGGCUUCUGUAGACAGGUAAACCAUGAAAGAGAGUUCAAUUCGAGUCCUCAAUUGCCAACACCCGAACAGUUUGAGAAGGAAAGUCUGCCGAGCAUCAGAGCAGAAAGAGUCGACAAGAAAAACUCACUACACCAGACAGCCCCUUGCCCUGAUAGCGCUUUGAGAAGUGCUUUGUUGACUGUUGUCUGUGUCGAGUCGGGUACUGUCGCAGAUACAGCCUCCAUCCCUGAAGGUUGCCACAACCCAUCAGUGACGAUGCCUGUCCUGCUGUACGAUGGAACAGAAGAGGAGCUGAUGGACACUAUAGAGAGGGAAUAUAGCUAGUCUUCUGCUAGCCCAGCAUCCUUCAGCCCAACAUCCUGCAGCCCAACAUCCUGCAGCCCAACAUCCUGCAGCCUAACAUCCUGCAGCCCAACAUCCUGCAGCCCAACAUCCUGCGGCCCAACAUCCUGCAGCCUAACAUCCUCCAGCCCAACAUCCUGCAGCCUAACAUCCUGCAGCCUAGCAUCCUGCAGCCCAAUAUCCUGCAGUCACUGUGGCUUAAUUACUGUGUUGGCUAAGAAGUGGGGCAGCAGGGUAACCUGCACUCCUCAACCAGACACAGGGAUGUUUAUUGAAUGAGCCUCCGCUCUUAGACCUCCUACAACGAUAAGGUGUCACCCCCUGAAUCAAGUCACUUUCCCCAAGGAAUAAUGAAUGGUUAACACAGUGAUAACUAUUUAACACCUCAGCAGGGGGGGGAUAUCUGUUAAUGGAUAAUAGACAGAGCCUUUUGGUGUGCCGUUACAUAUUUUAUAUACUUUAAUGACUUCAGCAUCGAGUAUUCCUUGCGUUUAAAAGUGUAGGAUGGUUAAACUGGUAUGGUCUGACCAUAAAUAUAUGAGCUACACUUAUUUUACUAGUCAUCAGUUUUUCAGCAAGUUGUAAGUCCGCCCCUCUCUUCAACUGCUCUGGAGAGGUAUGUGCAGGGAUUGUGCGUUUAAGGUUCAUUUCCUGACCACAGUCCCUGUGGUCUCCCCACCCUUCCGUGGAAGGAUGUUGGUGUAUGUUGGUGGAGAGGGUUUAGAAGGGGCUCAGAGUGGCCCCUUCUGUGGCCGCUUGUAUUCUGCUGAUUCUAGAUGUUUCCGUGCAUAGGAUGUGCAUAGACUGCCAUCUAGAGGUGAGAUAUUGCAAUUGUAAAAAAAAAAAAGAACUGGACUUUACACCACAUAGCUGUGGUGUAAAGUAGACCCCAACCCUGGAUGCAAGCACAACAGCACACACACACACGUAUUAACUUACAAGCUCAUCACGUUAGCCAGUUCAGGCAAGUAACACAGACAAUCAUCCAUUUUGUCACACAAACUCCAUUAUGCCAUUGGCUAGUCCCAAGUAUAUUAUUCCAUUUGUUUACUUAAAGGUGGUCAGAUGUAAAGCGCAAAUAUGUGCAGCAAUGUUUUGUACUUCUUUUUUAUUGUACACAAAUAAUAAAUGUUAUUCUUGUUUAAACCUAGUAAUUUCACAUGUUUGAACUCAUUCAAGCUGUCCACCAGAUGUCCCUGUUCAACACAGACAGUUAGAUGUGUUGGAACUUGUGUAAGUCGGUCAGUAAGGCAGAGGGGAGGGUGUCCAACAAGCUUGUUGAUUGGUCGCACCCACUAACCCUUCACAGUUCUUACACUCUGAUUGGACAGUUGUUACAAGGUGUGGUACAACUGUAAAUAUGAACUGUUGGACAGUUUAAGUUUGUGUCUGUGAAUGUGUGUACAUCUAAUAAAUACAUUAAAAAAGACAAACAAA